AUACCGUGUGAUGGAAACCAUAAAUCAGCAGCUUAUUAUUCUUUAGCAAAGAGCGAAUAUUACAAUACUACAAUGUAUGGCACUGACUGGUUGCACUGGUUAUUUCUUCACUAAUCUGAUUAUGACUGAUGUUUUAACACUAACUUUUACUUGCAAGAUCGGAAUAGCACACUUCU